CACACAAAACCGAUAAAUCAAAUCAUUCAAUCAGCACUCAGAAAAUCAAGUCACUUACUGACAUACAUACACAUCACCAACAUAUACUCCCCACAUAACUCAUACAUGACUACAUGUUACUAUAUGUUACUAUAAUACAAAUCAUAAAUCAUACACACACUAUCACUUACUGACAUACAUACACAUCACCAACAUAUACUCCCCACAUAACUCAUACAUGACUACAUGUUACUAUAUGUUACUAUAUAAUAUGAAUCAUAAAUUAUAAAUUUCAAGAGGUAAAUCAUAAAAUUGGACCUAAAAGAUUCACCAAGCAUACAAAAUUUCAUUUAAUUACGACACGCAUGUCAUUCAAAUGGCAGAAAAAAAAUCCAAAUUAGAAUAUUAUGUAAUAAACUAAAAAAUGCACACACACACACACAAACAAAGAACUCGAUCAAACACGAAACUGAAUAAAAAUUCUAGCCAAUUGAAACAAAAUAUUAGUUGAGCCGAAAAAUUAGAGUCGAAUUAAAAUCGAGAAAAAAUGACUAUAGCGUACUACAAGUCCAUAUGUUACUAAAUGUGA
rnacentral:lncRNA from 1 species